GUAUUAUAUUGCGUUAAACGCGGUAUACAUCCCAUGAGACUUUAAUUACAGUGUGUGUGUAAAAGCAUAGAACCACAGCAGGAGGACAGAGUCCCCCAUGCCAUAGAACUACAGGAGGGUGCACAGGUGUGAGUGGAUGUGUAAACAGAGCGUGCACAUGCCCCCAUUUGAGGACCAGCAACAACUCGUGUCAACAGUUCAGUAAUGAUCCUUCCGCAGGUUCACCUACGGAAA
rnacentral:misc_RNA from 1 species